rfam:Ovis aries breed Texel chromosome 4, whole genome shotgun sequence.
UCCCUGGUGGCUCAGUUAAUAAAGAAUCUGCCUGCAAUGCAGGAGACCCAGGUUUGACUCCUGGGUAGGGAA